rnacentral:rRNA from 1 species
GAUGAACGCUGGCGGCGUGCCUAAUACAUGCAAGUCGAGCGAACAGACGAGGAGCUUGCUCCUCUGACGUUAGCGGCGGACGGGUGAGUAACACGUGGAUAACCUACCUAUAAGACUGGGAUAACUUCGGGAAACCGGAGCUAAUACCGGAUAAUAUAUUGAACCGCAUGGUUCAAUAGUGAAAGACGGUUUUGCUGUCACUUAUAGAUGGAUCCGCGCCGCAUUAGCUAGUUGGUAAGGUAACGGCUUACCAAGGCAACGAUGCGUAGCCGACCUGAGAGGGUGAUCGGCCACCCUGGAACUGAACCACGGUCCAGACUCCUACGGGAGGCAGCAGUAGGGAAUCUUACGCAAUGGGCGAAAGCCUGACGGAGCAACGCCGCGUGAGUGAUGAAGGUCUUCGGAUCGGAAAACUCUGUUAUUAGGGAAGAACAAAUGUGUAAGUAACUAUGCACGUCUUGACGGUACCUAAUCAGAAAGCCACGGCUAACUACGUG